CACAAAAAAAUAUGAAGGCUGUACGCAGCUGAAUUAUUUUUCACCCAUGUCUUUUGCGCACUUGUUGUUUCCUGGGCGGGUUCGCCCGCCACCAGGACCACACCAUAAACCUUUUUUAUGCAGUUGCAAUCAGCGUCAGUAAAACAAGUAAUUAAUUUA
rnacentral:misc_RNA from 1 species